rnacentral:pre_miRNA from 1 species
GAGGGGAGCGCAGGAUCCUGGGCUGUGUCCCCCGCCCCUGGGCUCCGGGGCCUGCGCCGCUGGAAUCGCGCUCUGGGGUGCGCAGCCCUCU